AAUAGAUACCCCGGUAGUCCACGCCGUAAACGAUGGAUGCUAGCUAUUGGGGGGAAUCGACCCCCUCCGAAGCGAAGCUAACGCGUUAAGCAUCCCGCCUGAGUAGUACGAGCGCAAGCUUAAAACUCAAAGGAAUUGACGGGGACCCGCACAAGCGGUGGAGCGUGUGGUUUAAUUCGACGGUAAACGAAGAACCUUACCAAGGUUUGACAUCCCGGUAGCCGUUCUCCGAAAGGAGAAUUUCAUUUAGUUGGACCGGUGACAGGUGAUGCAUGGCCGUCGUCAGCUCGUGUCGUGAGAUGUUGGGUUAAGUCCCGCAACGAGCGCAACCCUUAUGAUUUAGUUGGAUUUUUCUAAACAGACUGCCCUGGUAACAGGGAGGAAGGAGGGGAUGAUGUCAGGUCAGUAUUUCCCUUACACCUUGGGCGACACACGCGCUACAAUGGCCGGUACAAUGGGCAGCUAAGCCGCGAGGUGGAGCAAAUCCCAUCAAAGCCGGUCCCAGUUCGGAUUGCAGGCUGAAACCCGCCUGCAUGAAGCCGGAAUCGCUAGUAACC
rnacentral:rRNA from 1 species